CAUUAGGAAGCUUGUAAGUAGCACUAGCCUUUUAAGCUAGAAAAGGGACCUCCCCUCCCCCAAAUGA
rnacentral:tRNA from 1 species